rnacentral:tRNA from 1 species
GGAGAAGUACCCAAGUAGGUCGAAGGGGGCGGUUUGCUAAACCGUUAGUAGGAGCAAUCCUAGCAAGGGUUCGAAUCCCUUCUUCUCCGCCA